UGGCCCAGAGUUUACCGUGAAGGCUUAGAGUGUUCAAAGCAGGCAGAUCCAAUUUUCUGCCACCGAAUACAUUAGCAUGGGAUAAUGGAAUAGGACCCUGUCCUCCUAUUUUCAGUUGGUUUGCCGCGAGGACCAGGGUAAUGAUUAAUAGGGAUAGUUGGGGGCAUUAAUAUUUAAUUGUCAGAGGUGAAAUUCUUGGAUUUAUGAAAGAUUAACUUCUGCGAAUCAGCUGCCAAGGAUGUCGUUCAUUAAUCAAGAACGAAAGUUAGGGGAUCGAAGACGAUCAGAUACCGUCGUAGUCUUAACCAUUAACGAUGCCGACCAGCGAUUAGGAGACGUUGAAUACAAAACACCACCAUGCGCAUUGCGGUCGUCUUUGGUGUCGCUCACAAGGCGGCACCGGGGCGGCUUAGCUCGCAUGCACGGUGAAUCCCUAGCAGCUUG
rnacentral:rRNA from 1 species